GGCGGCACCGGCAGCAACAUGAAACAGGCCCUGGCAUGAACAGAGAAGUUUUGCUUUAUAAAUUCCCAUCAAUUGAGGAAGAAAUAAUUAAAAUUAUUGCUGAGAUAAACUAGGUUAAUUUUAAAUAACUGAAUAAUUGUCGAAUCUGAAAUGAGCAUGGUGUGAAUUUUCAAGGUAUUUUUAAAAUAAAUCAGGAAUUUACAGUCUACAAUAUACGAUUCUAUCCUCAAUGGCUUGUGGUGUCACGUACUUGAAAGAUAAGGGCAAAAGUAAAAAAGGGUAUCUUAAAGGACACAGAAUUCUUCAUAUUCAGACAUUUUAGAACUCGGUCUAUUUUUACGGUUAUUUUUCACAUUUUCUGAAUGGAAAUUUAACUUGAAAGUAGGGAUCUCCGAGGGCUAUUUAGUUUUGAAAGAAUCUCCUUAAAGCUUGUUUAAUUGCGAUAUAAGGAAACUGGAAAUCAUGGAGUUGAAAAUAAUUAUUAAGUUGUUUAAUCAGUCUAUAAAUUGAUUUAUUUAAAUCACAACAAAUCCUUAAAUAGAAGGCUAUAUGAGAUCACAGUAAUUUAGAUCAAUCAUGUGUACAAACAAUUUAAUAAAGUACUAAAGAUUCAUA